GGUGUGAAUCUUUAAUCCCAAGGACUCUGCUCUGAUAGCUCCCAAAAUUUUUGUUCAAAUGGUUCCCAGGUUUUAAAGCCUAAGCUCCUCCCCACUAAUUAGGGCCAGUCUCAUAGAAUCACAAUCUGUUUAACCUGCUGGGCAUAAUUUUGAUUGUGGAUAAUGGGAAGAAUAUUCAUGCAUUUGUUAUGAAGAUUAUUCAUGACAACUCAUCAUUAGAAUACUUCUGGUGAUGAGCAUCGGGACUCAAUCAUUGUGUUGUUGAACACAAAUGGGCAAAGUGUCAGUUGCUGAAGAACAACUUUCACAUUUGUUCUUGUUUAGUCGUUUAGUCGUAUACGACUCUUCGUGACCCCAUGGACCAUAGCACGCCAGGCACUCCUAUCUUCCACUGCCUCCCGCAGUUUGGUCAAACUCAUGUUCGUAGCUUUGAGAACACUGUCCAGCCAUCUCGUCCUCUAUCGUCCCCUUCUCCUUGUACCCUCCAUCUUUCCCAACAUCAGGGUCUUUUCCAGGGAGUCUUCUCUUCUCAUGAGGUGGCCAAAGUAUUGGAGCCUCAGCUUCAGGAUCUGUCCUUCCAGUGAGCACUCAGGGCUGAUUUCCUUUCACAUAGCAAGUGGCUAAAUCCAUUCUGUCCUGAUGGCCACUGUCCUGUGAUCUUUGGGUGAAGGGUGAUGUUUAAAUUUUGAUGAUGAUGAUGGUAGUUAUUAUUCUCCUAUUCCCCUCCCAGAUCUACCAUUUCCAUAGUAGCAUAACAACCAGCCCCUCUUCCCAGGGAACUUGGGGAACUUCAGCUCUGUCAGGCAAACAAGGGUCUCCUAACAACACUCAACACCCUUGGCAAACCACAUUUCCCAGGAUUCUUUGGGGGAAGCUAUUACAGCUUUAAGUGUAUAGUGCUGAUGGUGCCUUUGUUUCAGUGUCACUAAUGAUUUAGAUAACAAAGUUCCUUAUCUCAAAAUGGGAACUAGUGUUGAUACAGUAGUGUCCACCAUCAUGACUUUGCUGGUCUAGUGUCUUGGACUGACUCAUGAUGAUGUCAGCACAUUACCACAGACUGUGACACCACAGUGACACAACUGCCCUUAGAUCUGACCCUAAACAACUAUUUGCCAGGUAGCAACACAUAAAGAAUGACUGUCAAUUACUGGUGUGACUGCUUAGUUCUUUCCCACUUGUGAGAUAGCACAGAAUAGCUGAGACUAUUGUAGUGGUUUCGGAAAUAGUAUGGGAAAGAAAUGCACUGUGAGAAGGAGUUUAAAAGCAGAGGGGAAAUUGGUUUGGAAACAUGAAGGCAAUAAAGUAGGAACAACGGGAACCAACAGCAGAUAGUCUCGUACAAGUUGUUCAUCAUCAGCAGUGCUAUAUGCAAAGUAGAAAGAAUAGCUACCUUUAUUAAAGACAUACGUACAACUUUGAGAAAGGCAUUUGCCAUUUUGCUCCUGUGACUAGGCAUGGUGGUUAGACCAGUGCUUUUUAUCAGCCAGAACUUACCAGUAAGUACUCAGUUCUGGCACCUCUCACGUGGGCGCCAUUGCCCUUAUAAGAGAACAAGGGAGGCAUUCAUGGUGAGUUCUGACACUUCUUUUUCUAGAAAAAUAGCACUGGGUAAGACCCCUUGAAUAAUACAAUAAAUGGAAAAAGAAGACAGGCAGGACAAUCCUACAGAUGGCUGCUGUUAUCCCCAAUCGUCAGUGUAGGGGUUGCCAACCAUUUGGGGGAUGUGAGCACAUGUUGAAUUCUGUGCAAAUGUUGUGGGUUGGCCACUUCUAUCCACAUUCUCCUAUAGAGCAAGUCUCACUGCCUCGCACCCCACAUUCCCUGCCAUGGCUAUAUUUUUGGGUUCAGACAUAAAUAUUUGCAGAGUGUCUCUGAGUCCAAAUAGAAAUAUAAAAUGUGUGUUGGAAGAGCAUGUGGCUUUGAGAUUUGGGGUGGAAUUUGUUUUUUAAAAUACAGUAGCUUCAUUCAUUUUUGCACUUAUAUUCCCCUUUCCUCCAAGGAGGUCAAGGUGGCACACACAUUUCUCCUCCUCUCCCUUUUGUUCUCACAAUAAUCCUGUGAGGUACAUAGGUUAAACUAAGAGACUUAAAGUCAACCAGUGAGCCUCAUGGCUGAGUGGAGAUUUGAAUCCUGGUCUCCCAGGUCAGCACUCUAACCACUACACCACACUACUUGACAUUCUCUUUGGAUGAGCUGUGGACCCUCCUCCACUGGUGACAUCAUUUAAUCUAUCUCAUGAUCUCAGCUAAACACAGCACAAAUGUAUUGCUAAGACAAGCUUAUAGCACCUCCUGCAUUAUCGCUAAUGCCAUAGCCCAGAGGCCAGGAGAGCCUGCUGCUACAGCUAGCAGAGCAUAUGUAGAUAAGGGUUUUAAUGCACUGGCAGCCCAAAUAGCAGUAGCCUACAAACUGCUACCCUUUCAUUUUGGAAAAUUCCCAGGGCUAUGUAGAGAAGAAAGACUGCCAUUCCAGUUAUAGUAGCCAGCAGGUUCAAUUGACAAUGGCUGGGAGGAACUGUACGUGUGGCAGAUCCCUCAGGAAAAUAAUUCAAGGCAGCCCUUGCUGCAUGGACAAUGGUGCCAAAGAGAUACUCACCUGGAUUUAGUUGGACUUAUGAAUUAGAAGUCCUAUUCAUUUCAAUGGGAACUAACGUAAUAGAAUCAAGGACUUGGAAGAGCCCCAAUGGUCAUCUAGUCCAACCCCCUGCAAUGCAGGAAUCUCAGCUAAAGCACCCAAGACAAACCCCUGCUUAAAAACCUCCAAUGAAGGAGAGUCGACAACCUCCCAAGGGAGUCUGUUCUACUGUUCAAACUUGCCCCAUUCAUUUCAAUGACACCUAAAUUCAAUUACCAGUAACUUAAUAUUCAUCUAACUCAAUGCUAAUAGCACUUCACCCAAUAUGUCUGUAUUGAUGUCUGUGUGAGAAGAACAAGUUGCUUGUUUGUUUGUUUUGCAAGGGAACCAUCUGAGAAUGCAAGAAUGAACACUGCAACAAGAAGUUUAUAGGAACUAACUCGCACAUGGCCCAAGCAGUGUUAGUUCCAGCCAUCCUGGAAUAGUUUUAAUCUCUGUUCAACAGAGAUGUGACCAACACCCACUAUGUAAGAUGCUGACCCACUGGUAGGUGGAUGAGAAAGAUCAUUAGCUUUCCACCCAUCUACAAACGGAUAGUAUUUUUGGCAUGUGUUUGUGAAGUGUUUACUGAAGACAUGUGGCAUGAGAUUACUUUGAGACAACCCAGAGCCAUUUUUGUCCGCAUAAAUACAAAAUUACUGUAAUUUUAAACUCCAAUAUUCACAUUGUAUAUGCUGCAUAAAUACCGCUGUUCCUGCAUUAAUUUGCACCUAGAUAAACAUAGAUGCUGGUUCUUGAGAAUAUACCUUCCUUUGGCUCUCCCAUUUAAUGACACACGUUUAACAAAACAAGAAUUGUAAUGCUGAUACAAUCUCUUUCAGGCCUUUGUAUUGGUCUAAACGCAAUGGAAAGCAGGGCAUUUAUAAAGAAACACUUUUUGAAAAAUGAUCCAUUUGAAUCUGCUCGGAUACCUGCUGUGGAAAUAGCCUGUUUAUAUAAAUGGUGUUAUACAUCAGUAUAGAUAGCUCUCUGUCAGGGAAUAGUAAAAAUAGAUUGGCUGCAAAGUCAUCUGUGACUCAGAAAUUAGAUGGAAUAGUGGACUCUGCAAGAGCUAACUGUGCGGCAUCUGCUAGAAAGUAUUAUGUGCACGCACACUCUGCUGAACCUGUCCUGAAAGAUGUAUCAAACAUUGCACAAUUUCUUAAAAGAAUUCAUUCAUCAAGUGAAAAUGAACUAAAGUAGAUUGCCUACGGCUUUUCUUUUUAUGCAUAGUGAUUUAUAUAAAAGUAGCCUUUUGGAGAAAUAGCUUGUUGAACCUUCAUGAGAUUCUCAACUAACAUUUUAGACAUUAUCCUUAUGUAGAUAUACGAAAACACCACAUUGACUAAGGGCUGGUUUGCACAAUAUAAAUACCAUGAGGGCUGCUUUAAAUUGCUCCAUAGCUAUUACUACUUGAUGAGUUUGUCUCCUCAUGUGAUCAGGCAGCUUUUGACAAGCCCUCACAAGUAGCCAUCAAGAAGAGUUUGUAGUGGUAUGGUAAACAUCACCAGUCCCACACAGCUCUAGCAAUGUCUGCAUGAAAAAACCACAUGCAUAUGAACAUUCAUCAGCAUUUUAGUGCAAAAUUUCUCCUGAUAAAAACAUUUUUGCAUGCCUUUUUGACUAAUAUGCACAUUUUUUGCAAGCACUUUUCUCCAAUAUAAUGCAUUUUUAUAUGCUAUUUUCACUAAUGUAUGCAUGUACAGUCACACUUUACACUAGUAUAUCCAUUUCUGUACACAUUACUUGACUGGAGUGCUGUACUGCAAAAUUUUCAGAAGUGUGAUUUUUAAAAGAUGCCUGUGUUUUGGAAAGUGUGAAUUAGGUAAGUUUGCCUUUACAUGCAAACUAUCUAAUUUCUCCUCCAUCUCUAGCUGAAUAAGAAAUUUGUCAUUGAUUUCAGUGAAAUUUAUCACCAAGUAAGAGUGCUUAGAGAUCACAGCUUAAGGAUGGGUGUUGAAGAUAGUAUUUGAACAGCAAUUCCCUAAAGUAGUCUACUAAGGGGUCUAUCUCUGAGUUAGAGGAGAGAUGCAAUUUUCUCACUGUAGCACCCAUGUCAAAUGUGUGAUAUGCAGCAGAAACAUCUGCACUAGCUGCAGGUUAAGGUUUUUGUCUGCCCUGAGAUGUGGUAUCUGAAUGUACAUUUUCAGAUAAGAAUGCACAGAAUUCUCACGUGAAUAGUACUAAAACAAGGAUAACUGAGGGCAGAGGGAGAUAUUUGCUUGAUUCAAAGAAGAAAUACACCACCUUGUAUGCUAAAUUGCUAAAGGAAGUGCAUUUGGAACAGUUGGGUAUAUUCACGAGCAGCACUAGUGUCUGGUUUCUUUUAAUCAGAGAUGAACACAACAUUUUGUAUUUCAUUCUCUGUAUCAGCUGAAAUAGACUGAAGAUAAAUUCCUGUGAACAGUGUGAUGAUCCUGUAAAAAACAAAUGCUGAACAUUUCGAAUAAUUUGUCACCAGACAAAUAUACUGAGCCAGCAGAGCUUAUUGAAUCUGAAUUAUAUGUCAAGAUGAACUAUGCACCUUUGUUUAGAUCAUACUCUCAUUUAGAAUAAAGCUAUUUAGAAUAAAGCAACCCAGUUUUCGACAAACCACAUGGCCAAAGCAAGCAAUGGGAUCCUUUCUAAAACAAUACAGUAGCACCUUGGCUUACGUUAUGCUUGGGUAAUGUAAACUUCGGGUUGCGAAAGUGGCUAACCCAGUAGUGUUUCGCUGCGCGCGCAUGCGCAAAAGCAGCCCCUCCGGUUGCGGAAACCUAAGAACCUGACCAGAGCUCUGGAACGGAUCCCGUCCGCAACCGGAGGUAUUACCAAUCACAUUGUACAUCAGGGUUGGGGAACCCGUAGCUUCCCACCUGUUGUUGGACAGCAACUUCCGCCAGCCCUGACCAUUGGCUAUGCCGGCUGGAGGAGAUGGAUGGAAAGCCACAGGUUCCCACCCUGUUGUUGACCUUCCACCAUUCUCAGUGUGCUUGCAGGACAUCCAUGCGCACAUGGAGCUUUCUGUAUAGUCUUUUCCAUUCAGUUUUGAAGAUACCAAAUACCACUUUUAAUAAACACAGAGCCAGGCAGCCUGCUAUUUACUGGAGAGUCAGCUGCAGAGGACGCAAGAAAAGAAUGUCAAAUUGGAACACAAGUUCUUGUGUUACUGAAGCAUGCCAUCAUCACAUUAAUAUUUCAUUCAAAUCAAUAGAAUUGAUUUAUUUGGUACACCAGUCACUGAGCACUCUAGGAAUAGUGACCCACUAGAAAUAGCCAUCAUCAGAAAAAGUCCAAUGCACACUAUUUUAAACAAGUUGCUCAACUCUUUUAAUGUGCAACAUCAUUUUCUUAUCGUAGUGACAUUAAAAAAAGCCCAUCAAUUGGUGUGCCACUAUUUCCGUCAUUUUACAGAUGGGGAAAUUAAUCUGAAAGCCAUCAGUAUGCCCAAAGACUUGUCCAAAGCAGAACAAGAACCUGAACUUACAGCCCACUAUACUGUGCUAGCUUUCAUGUGUAUGUGUCAUGGACUGGCUUGAUGCAGAGGAGUGGUAGGAGGCACCAGCUGGAGAACCCCCAGAGGAAGAAGGCUUAGAGCCAGGGGAUUUGAGGUGGGGUAACAAUGAGUGGUCAGAGGGAGAAGAGGGAGUAGACCGGGGGAAGGAGGUGUUGGAUAAUGGAAAGGUAUCAGGGUUUAGUGAGCAGAAAGAGGCUGUGGCAGAGAGCAGUCUAGAAUCAGAUGUGGAAGUGGAGGCUGGGAGGAGGUGAAGCCAAGAGGCAGAGUUGAGGCAGUCUGCUGAAGAAGCUAACGAGUCUCCCCCUUCCAUAGCUGCCAAGUUUUCCCUUUUCUCGCGAGGAAGCCUAUUAAGCAUAAGGGAAAAUCCCUUUAAAAGAGGGAUAACUUGGCAGCUAUGCCCCCUUCUGCUGUGACCAUCUCCUCUCCCUGCUGGUCUCCCAGAACCCACAUAGGUAUGAAGAGGGCAGAGCAAAAACAAAAUAGGGCAAAGAAGUCUCAGGCUGCUUGGGAAGACCCAGGUGAGGAGGAGACUUACAGAGCUGUAGGAAGGCAAGGACCUUGCACCUGCCUCAUUGCAGCAAGACUUACGGGGAAGAGUUGCUGCGUUCAAUAGGCAUGAAUUGUUUUGUUCCUUUGAAUAAAGAGUUCACUUCACUGGCACCUUGUGAGUUACUGCUGAUCCGGGACUGACUCUCAUAUUUACAUUUGUAGGAUCCAGAAGUUCAUGAUCAGGCCAGAGAAGUUGUGGUGGCGAUGAAGGGCAACACAAGGGAGAAUUAACUGUAGAAAAGAACUUUGAUGCCAGCAGAUUAUAUUGGCUACCAGGUGGUAAUCCGGAAGGCCAGGUGAUUUAGGGCAGCCUUGGGAAGACCUUAAUUGCUGCUCAGUAUCCUUCUCUGAAGAGUAAGCCUGUUCAGGAGUGGGACCUCCCAGAGGAGGUAACAGAGAUGCUCCUUUUUGCAGCUAGCCUGAUGCCGAAUAGAGGAAGAUACUGGGGUAAGUUCCUUUAAGCACUUUUCUCAUGUCCACAUAAUUUCAUUCACUCCUCAAAUGUGCUGCCUUUAUGUAAUAAAUCAUAAUUUGCUGGCUUUGAUAUGUUUUACUUGGAAGAUCCCUUGAAAUAAAUGCUUUCUUUCUACUGAAAAAACUUUUUUAUUGCAGUUUCUUUUCU